CAACCUGGUUGAUCCUGCCAGUUAGUCAUAUGCUUGUCUCAAAGAUUAAGCCAUGCAUGUCUAAGAAUAAGCCCCAGAAUGGUGAAUCUGCGAAUGGCUCAUUAAAUCAGUUAUUGUUUAUUUGAUGGUACCUUACUACAUGGAUAUCCGUAGUAAUUCUAGAGUUAAUACAUGCGUCAAACCGCGACUUCGG
rnacentral:rRNA from 1 species